rfam:Capsicum annuum cultivar Zunla-1 chromosome 12, whole genome shotgun sequence
AUAAGGUGCGAUGAUGCUUGUCCACCUAAUCUCAAGAGUUCAAUGAUGAAUUCAAGUACAUACACUACCAUCUGAUCUUAU